GCAGUCGAACGAGAAAGCUCCCUUCGGGGAGUGAGUAAAGUGGCAGACGGGUGAGUAACACGUGGGCAACCUACCCCGAGGUGGGGGAUAACUCUCCGAAAGGAGGGCUAAUACCGCAUAACAUCCCGAGAUCGAUGGGUCACGGGAUCAAAGCAGGCCUCUUCUUGAAAGCUUGCGCCAUGGGAUGGGCCCGCGCCCCAUUAGCUUGUUGGUGAGGUAACGGCUCACCAAGGCCGCGAUGGGUAGCCGGCCUGAGAGGGCGUUCGGCCACACUGGAACUGAGACACGGUCCAGACUCCUACGGGAGGCAGCAGUGAGGAAUUUUGCGCAAUGGGCGAAAGCCUGACGCAGCGACGCCGCGUGGAGGAAGAAGGCCUUCGGGUCGUAAACUCCUGUCAGGAGGGACGAAUGUCGGGCGGCUGAAUAAGCCGUCCGGUUGACGGUACCUCUGGAGGAAGCCCCGGCUAACUCCGUGCCAGCAGCCGCGGUAAUACGGAGGGGGCCAGCGUUGUUCGGAAUUAUUGGGCGUAAAGGGCGCGUAGGCGGCUCUUCAAGUCAAAGGUGAAAUCCCUCGGCUCAACCGGGGAACUGCCUUUGAUACUGUCGAGCUUGAGUCCCGGAGAGGGUAGCGGAAUUCCGAGUGUAGCGGUGAAAUGCGUAGAUACUCGGAGGAACACCCGUGGCGAAGGCGGCUACCUGGACGGGUACUGACGCUGAGGCGCGAAAGCUAGGG
rnacentral:rRNA from 1 species